CGAUCGAACUCUGGUAUUGAUGUGAGUGCUUAGCAUCAUGAUUUACAUUUGAGUGAGUGGCGAACUGGUGAGUAACACGUGGGAAACCUGCCCAGAAGCGGGGGAUAACACCUGGAAACAGAUGCUAAUACCGCAUAACAACUUGGACCGCAUGGUCCGAGCUUGAAAGAUGGCUUCGGCUAUCACUUUUGGAUGGUCCCGCGGCGUAUUAGCUAGAUGGUGGGGUAACGGCUCACCAUGGCAAUGAUACGUAGCCGACCUGAGAGGGUAAUCGGCCACAUUGGGACUGAGACACGGCCCAAACUCCUACGGGAGGCAGCAGUAGGGAAUCUUCCACAAUGGACGAAAGUCUGAUGGAGCAACGCCGCGUGAGUGAAGAAGGGUUUCGGCUCGUAAAACUCUGUUGUUAAAGAAGAACAUAUCUGAGAGUAACUGUUCAGGUAUUGACGGUAUUUAACCAGAAAGCCACGGCUAACUACGUGCCAGCAGCCGCGGUAAUACGUAGGUGGCAAGCGUUGUCCGGAUUUAUUGGGCGUAAAGCGAGCGCAGGCGGGUUUUUUAAGUCUGAUGUGAACAGCCCUUCGGCUCAACCGAAGAAGUGCAUCGGAAACUGGGAAACUUGAGUGCAGAAGAGGACAGUGGAACUCCAUGUGUAGCGGUGAAAUGCGUAGAUAUAUGGAAGAACACCAGUGGCGAAGGCGGCUGUCUGGUCUGUAACUGACGCUGAGGCUCGAAAGUAUGGGUAGCAAACAGGAUUAGAUACCCUGGUAGUCCAUACCGUAAACGAUGAAUGCUAAGUGUUGGAGGGUUUCCGCCCUUCAGUGCUGCAGCUAACGCAUUAAGCAUUCCGCCUGGGGAGUACGGCCGCAAGGCUGAAACUCAAAGGAAUUGACGGGGGCCCGCACAAGCGGUGGAGCAUGUGGUUUAAUUCGAAGCUACGCGAAGAACCUUACCAGGUCUUGACAUACUAUGCAAAUCUAAGAGAUUAGACGUUCCCUUCGGGGACAUGGAUACAGGUGGUGCAUGGUUGUCGUCAGCUCGUGUCGUGAGAUGUUGGGUUAAGUCCCGCAACGAGCGCAACCCUUAUUAUCAGUUGCCAGCAUUAAGUUGGGCACUCUGGUGAGACUGCCGGUGACAAACCGGAGGAAGGUGGGGAUGACGUCAAAUCAUCAUGCCCCUUAUGACCUGGGCUACACACGUGCUACAAUGGAUGGUACAACGAGUUGCGAACUCGCGAGAGUAAGCUAAUCUCUUAAAGCCAUUCUCAGUUCGGAUUGUAGGCUGCAACUCGCCUACAUGAAGUCGGAAUCGCUAGUAAUCGCGGAUCAGCAUGCCGCGGUGAAUACGUUCCCGGGCCUUGUACACACCGCCCGUCACACCAUGAGAGUUUGUACCACCCAAAGUCG
rnacentral:rRNA from 2 species